ACAGCUUCUCAGCCUUUUGACUAAGAUCAAGUAUAGUAUCUGUUCUUAUCAGUUUAAAUUAUAGCUACAUACCUAGGUGUACAGUGGGUGGGGCAAAAGUAGGUUUAUGGUUGUGAGUAUGCAAAACAGUUUCUGUGUUAUUAUUUAUUAAUUAUUGUAAUAUUUUCCACUGCAACAAUGGUAAACCUACU